UACGAGUGCUUCGAGCGUUAUCCGGAAUCAUUGGGCGUAAAGGGUGUGUAGGCGGCUUUGUUAGUCUCGCGUAAAAUCUUUCGGCUCAACCGAGAGUCUGCGUGGGAAACGGCAAGGCUUAGAGGACGGAAGAGGUCUCUGGAACUCAUGGUGUAGCGGUGAAAUGCGUUGAUAUCAUGGGGAACACCAAAAGCGAAGGCAAGAGACUGGUCCGCUCCUGACGCUGAAACACGAAAGCGUGGGUCGCGAAUGGG
rnacentral:rRNA from 1 species